GAUGAACGCUGGCGGCGUGCCUAAUACAUGCAAGUCGAGCGAACGGACGAGAAGCUUGCUUCUCUGAUGUUAGCGGCGGACGGGUGAGUAACACGUGGAUAACCUACCUAUAAGACUGGGAUAACUUCGGGAAACCGGAGCUAAUACCGGAUAAUAUUUUGAACCGCAUGGUUCAAAAGUGAAAGACGGUCUUGCUGUCACUUAUAGAUGGAUCCGCGCUGCAUUAGCUAGUUGGUAAGGUAACGGCUUACCAAGGCAGCGAUGCAUAGCCGACCUGAGAGGGUGAUCGGCCACACUGGAACAGAGACAGGGUCCAGACUCCGACGGGAGGAAGCAGUAGGGAAUCUUCCGCAAUGGGCGAAAGCCUGACGGAGCAACGCCGCGUGAGUGAUGAAGGUCUUCGGAUCGUAAAACGCUGUUAUUAGGGAAGAACAUAUGUGUAAGUAACUGUGCACAUCUUGACGGUACCUAAUCAGAAAGCCACGGCUAACUACGUG
rnacentral:rRNA from 1 species